AAAAAAUAAAUAAAUAAAUAUAAAUAAAUGCUCAACUUUAUAGAACAAAUAUCAAAUUUGAACAGAAAAAACAAUAAAACAAAAAACCCCUGUUUUAAAUGACAAAAGACUUCUUAUUUCUGCAAUUCCAUUCCAUGUCUUUUAAUUGAUUGGAAACUGAAACCCCACAAUGGCAUUAGAUUGUUGUUGAAGCUCAUUCAGACAAGGGUUUGCUCUUGGACCUAUAGAGAAGCUUCUUCUUCUUGGAGGUUUGGUUAUCAAUGGUAAGAACUACCUUGCCAGAUUCACUAAUCUUGAAGGUUUCACCAAUUAUAGGUUCAUCAGUUGGACUAACCUUCCUGGUUUUUGAUACAAUAAC
rnacentral:misc_RNA from 1 species